AGUGAACGCUGGCGGUAGGCCUAACACAUGCAAGUCGAACGGCAGCACAGAGGAGCUUGCUCCUUGGGUGGCGAGUGGCGGACGGGCGAGGAAUACAUCGGAAUCUACUCUGUCGUGGGGGAUAACGUAGGGAAACUUACGCUAAUACCGCAUACGACCUACGGGUGAAAGCAGGGAACCUCCGGGCCUUGCGCGAUUGAAUGAGCCGAUGUCGGAUUAGCUAGUUGGCGGGGUAAAGGCCCACCAAGGCGACGAUCCGUAGCUGGUCUGAGAGGAUGAUCAGCCACACUGGAACUGAGACACGGUCCAGACUCCUACGGGAGGCAGCAGUGGGGAAUAUUGGACAAUGGGCGCAAGCCUGAUCCAGCCAUACAGCGUGGGUGAAGAAGGCCUUCGGGUUGUAAAGCCCUUUUGUUGGGAAAGAAAUCCAGCUGGCUAAUACCCGGUUGGGAUGACGGUACCCAAAGAAUAAGCACCGGCUAACCUCGUGCCAGCAGCCGCCGUAA
rnacentral:rRNA from 1 species